rnacentral:rRNA from 1 species
UACGUAGGCAGCGAGCGUUGUUCGGAGUUACUGGGCGUAAAGCGUGCGUAGGCGGUGGUCCAAGUCUGGUGUGAAAUCUCCCGGCUCAACUGGGGAGGGUCACGCGAUACUGAUCGACUCGAAGGCAGGAGAGGGUAGUGGAAUUCCCGGUGUAGUGGUGAAAUGCGUAGAUAUCGGGAGGAACACCAGUGGCGAAGGCGACUACCUGGCCUGUUCUUGACGCUGAGGCGCGAAAGCUAGGGGAGCAAACGGG